UAGUUAGUUGGUGAGGUAAAGGCUCACCAAGGCGAUGAUGGUUAGGGGUCCUGAGAGGGUAGUCCCCCACACUGGUACUGAGACACGGACCAGACUCCUACGGGAGGCAGCAGUGAGGAAUAUUGGUCAAUGGGCGCUAGCCUGAACCAGCCAUGCCGCGUGCAGGAAGACGGCCCUACGGGUUGUAAACUGCUUUUCUGCAGGAAGAAUAUAUAGUCUUAGGGGUAUAUUGACGGUACUGCAGGAAUAAGCAUCGGCUAACUCCGUGCCAGCAGCCGCGGUAAUACGGAGGAUGCAAGCGUUAUCCGGAUUCAUUGGGUUUAAAGGGUGCGCAGGCUGUAAAGCAAGUCAGUGGUGAAAGCCCUGGGCUUAACUCAGGGAUUGCCAUUGAAACUGUUUUACUAGAGUGUAGUAGAGGACGGCGGAAUGAGUUGUGUAGCGGUGAAAUGCAUAGAUAUAACUCAGAACACCUAUUGCGUAGGCAGCUGUCUAUACUACAACUGACGCUGAGGCACGAGAGCGUGGGGAGCGAACAGGAUUAGAUACCCUGGUAGUCCACGCUGUAAACGAUGAUCACUCGUUGUUGGCUACUUAGUAGUCAGUGACCAAGGGAGACCGAUAAGUGAUCCACCUGGGGAGUACGUCGGCAACGAUGAAACUCAAAGGAAUUGACGGGGGCCCGCACAAGCGGAGGAACAUGUGGUUUAAUUCGAUGAUUCGCGAGGAACCUUACCUGGGCUUAAAUGCUGGCUGCAUUGGAGGGAAACCUUCAUUUCCCACGGGACCGCCAGCAAGGUGCUGCAUGGUUGUCGUCAGCUCGUGCCGUGAGGUGUCGGGUUAAGUCCCAUAACGAGCGCAACCCCUAUCGCUAGUUGCCAGCAUGUAAUGGUGGGGACUCUAGCGAGACUGCCGGUGUAAACCGGAGGAAGGUGGGGAUGACGUCAAAUCAGCACGGCCCUUACGUCCAGGGCUACACACGUGUUACAAUGGCCGGUACAAAGAGCAGCCACCUGGCGACAGGGCGCUAAUCUCUAAAACCGGUCUCAGUUCGGAUCGAAGUCUGCAAUUCGACUUCGUGAAGGUGGAUUCGCUAGUAAUCGCGCAUCAGCCAUGGCGCGCUGCCUAAGUUCCCGGGCAUUGUACACACCGCCCGUCAAGCCAUGGAAGUCGGGGGUACCUGAAGUCCGUAACCGA
rnacentral:rRNA from 1 species